GAGUUUGAUCGUGGCUCAGAUUGAACGCUGGCGGCAUGCCUUACACAUGCAAGUCGAACGGCAGCAUGAUCUAGCUUGCUAGAUUGAUGGCGAGUGGCGAACGGGUGAGUAAUACAUCGGAACGUGCCCUGUAGUGGGGAUAACUAGUCGAAAGAUUAGCUAAUACCGCAUACGACCUGAGGGUGAAAGUGGGGGACCGCAAGGCCUCAUGCUAUAGGAGCGGCCGAUGUCUGAUUAGCUAGUUGGUGGGGUAAAGGCCCACCAAGGCGACGAUCAGUAGCUGGUCUGAGAGGACGAUCAGCCACACUGGGACUGAGACACGGCCCAGACUCCUACGGGAGGCAGCAGUGGGGAAUUUUGGACAAUGGGCGAAAGCCUGAUCCAGCAAUGCCGCGUGUGUGAAGAAGGCCUCGGUUGUAAG
rnacentral:rRNA from 1 species